GACGAACGCUGGCGGCGUGCCUAAUACAUGCAAGUCGAGCGCAGGAAGCCGUCUGAACCCUUCGGGGGGACGACGGUGGAAUGAGCGGCGGACGGGUGAGUAACACGUAAAGAACCUGCCCAUAGGUCUGGGAUAACCACGAGAAAUCGGGGCUAAUACCGGAUGUGUCAGCGGACCGCAUGGUCCGCUGAUGAAAGGCGCUCCGGCGUCGCCCAUGGAUGGCUUUGCGGUGCAUUAGCUAGUUGGUGGGGUAACGGCCCACCAAGGCGACGAUGCAUAGCCGACCUGAGAGGGUGAUCGGCCACACUGGGACUGAGACACGGCCCAGACUCCUACGGGAGGCAGCAGUAGGGAAUCUUCCACAAUGGACGAAAGUCUGAUGGAGCAACGCCGCGUGAACGAUGAAGGCUUUCGGGUCGUAAAGUUCUGUUGUAAGGGAAGAACAAGUGCCGCAGGCAAUGGCGGCACCAUGACGGUACCUUGCGAGAAAGCCACGGCUAACUACGUGCCAGCCGCCGCCGUAA
rnacentral:rRNA from 1 species